rnacentral:rRNA from 1 species
CCUACGGGUUGCAGCAGUAGGGAAUCUUCCGCAAUGGACGAAAGUCUGACGGAGCAACGCCGCGUGAGUGAUGAAGGCUUUCGGGUCGUAAAACUCUGUUGUUAGGGAAGAACAAGUGCUAGUUGAAUAAGCUGGCACCUUGACGGUACCUAACCAGAAAGCCACGGCUAACUACGUGCCAGCAGCCGCGGUAAUACGUAGGUGGCAAGCGUUAUCCGGAAUUAUUGGGCGUAAAGCGCGCGCAGGUGGUUUCUUAAGUCUGAUGUGAAAGCCCACGGCUCAACCGUGGAGGGUCAUUGGAAACUGGGAGACUUGAGUGCAGAAGAGGAAAGUGGAAUUCCAUGUGUAGCGGUGAAAUUCGUAGAUAUUCGGAGGAACACCAGUGGCGAAGGCGGCUUACUGGUCUGCAACUGACGCUGAGGCGCGAAAGCGUGGGGAGCAAACAGGAUUAGAUACCCGAGUAGUC